ACAGCCAGCAGCUAUUGUGUGUUGUGGGAGCAAAAGCGCUCUGGUGGCUGGGGUCUCUGACAAGCAGGAGUCAAGCUGGAGCUUUGUUAUGAAAAUCAAGAGCUGGAGGGACACCUCCCCUGUGUGCAGGCCCAGGGCAAGAUGACAGGGGCCUCACGUGAGCUUCAGAAGACAAAUCUGAAAAUAUGGCCCAGUGCCAAAG
rnacentral:lncRNA from 1 species